GACGAACGCUGGCGGCGUGCCUAAUACAUGCAAGUAGAACGCUGAAGGAGGAGCCUGCUCUUCUGGAUGAGUUGCGAACGGGUGAGUAACGCGUAGGUAACCUGCCUGGUAGCGGGGGAUAACUAUUGGAAACGAUAGCUAAUACCGCAUAAGAGUAGAUGUUGCAUGACAUUUGCUUAAAAGGUGCAAUUGCAUCCCUACCAGAUGGACCUGCGUUGUAUUAGCUAGUUGGUGGGGUAACGGCUCACCAAGGCGACGAUACAUAGCCGACCUGAGAGGGGGAUCGGCCACACUGGGACUGAGACACGGCCCAGACUCCUACGGGAGGCAGCAGUAGGGAAUCUUCGGCAAUGGACGGAAGUCUGACCGAGCGACGCCGCGUGAGUGAAGAAGGUUUUCGGAUCGUAAAGCUCUGUUGUAAGAGAAGAACGAGUGUGAGAGUGGAAAGUUCACACUGUGACGGUAUCUUACCAGAAAGGGACGGCUAACUACGUG
rnacentral:rRNA from 1 species